rnacentral:lncRNA from 1 species
GUGGUGUUGAAGUUUGAACCCAGUGUCUCAACAUGUGCUAGGCAAACACUCUUCCACUGACCACAACCCCAGCCCCAGAGCUGUGUAGCUCUAUAUCCCAUGAUAUGGCUUGACCACAACAUUUACUCACAUACCCAUAUAGGUCUUGGAAACUUUUUCAGUUAUUUUCCUAAGAGUGUUAAUAGUUUAUAUUUUACUUUUAAUUCCAUGAUCCGUUUUGAGGAUGUACUGAAGUUUUCUCCAAAUGGAGAAACUUAAUUUGCACAAUUUUUGUGAGUCUUAAAUUGUUUUGUUGUUGUCGAUUUGGUAUCAGGGAUGGAAUUCGAGGGUCACUCAACCACUGAGCCACAUCCCCAGCCCUAUUUUGUAUGUUAUUUAGAGACAGAGUCUCACCAAGUUGCUUAGCGCCUCACUUUUGCAGAGGCUGACUUUGAACUCGCAAACCUCCUAACUCAGCUCCCAAAUUGAGAAGUUUUUGUUACCUCUCGAUUUCCAACUACUCAGGACCAUUUGUUGAAAAAGCCAUCUAGGCAUGGUGGUGUAUACCUGUAAUCACAGCAGCUGGGGGGGUGGGGUUGAGGCAGGAGGAUCACAAGUUUGAAGCUAAUGUAGACAACUUGCAAGACCCUGUGUCAAAGUUUAGUGAAGGGCUGGGAAUGUAUGUAGCUCAGUUAUAGAGCACUUGCCUACCAUGUGUAAUUCCUGAGUUCAACCCCUAGUACCACAAAAAAAAAAAAAAAGACUAUCCUCUCCCAUUGACAUGUUUUUCCACUUCAAAAAGUCAGUUGGGGUGGUGGCUCAGUGGUAGAGUGCUUGCCUAGCAUGUGUGAGGCACUGGGUUUGAGUCUCAGCACCACAUUUAAUAAGCAAAAGUAAAGCUCUAUCAGCACCUAAAUAAAGUUUAAUUAAAAAAAAAAAAGUCAUUUGGGCGUCCGGCAAAGCGGGCAGUGAGUUCAAAGCCAGCCACAGCAAAAAAACGAGGCACUAAGCAACUAAGUGAGACCUUAUCUCUAAAUAAAAAACAAAAUAGGGCUAGGGAUAUGGCUCAGUGUUUGAGUGCCCCUGAGUUCAAUCCCUGGUAACCCCCCAAAAAAGUCAACUGAAGGACACAGCUCUGGGGCCCCUUCGUUUUGGAGAAGUCCAUCUCUGUUCUAUCCUUUAAAUAAAUAAAACUCGCUUUCUACACUUGCCUCAGCGUUUCUCAGGUGUUCAAUCUUCCCAUCAGGGAAAUGGGAUUUGGC